UACGUAGGGUCCAAGCGUUGUCCGGAUUUAUUGGGCGUAAAGGGCGCGUAGGUGGUGGCUUAAGCGUGCGGUGAAAGCUCGGGGCUCAACUCCGAGUCGGCCGUGCGAACUGGGCUCACUGGAGCAUAGUAGAGGCAGGUGGAAUUCCGGGUGUAGCGGUGGAAUGCGCAGAUAUCAGGAGGAACACCAAUAGCGAAGGCAGCUCGCUGGGACGUUACUGACACUGAGGCGCGAAAGCGUGGGGGAGCGAACAGG
rnacentral:rRNA from 1 species